rnacentral:rRNA from 1 species
UUGACCUCAAAUCAGGUAGGACUACCCGCUGAACUUAAGCAUAUCAAUAAGCGGAGGAAAAGAAACUAACAAGGAUUCCCCUAGUAACUGCGAGUGAAGCGGGAAAAGCUCAAAUUUAAAAUCUGGCAGUCUUUGGCUGUCCGAGUUGUAAUCUAGAGAAGUAUUAUCCGCGCUGGACCGUGUACAAGUCUCCUGGAAUGGGGCGUCAUAGAGGGUGAGAAUCCCGUCUUUGACACGGACUGCCAGGGCUUUGUGAUGUGCUCUCAAAGAGUCGAGUUGUUUGGGAAUGCAGCUCAAAAUGGGUGGUAAAUUCCAUCUAAAGCUAAAUAUUGGCGAGAGACCGAUAGCGAACAAGUACCGUGAGGGAAAGAUGAAAAGAACUUUGGAAAGAGAGUUAAACAGUACGUGAAAUUGCUGAAAGGGAAACGCUUGAAGUCAGUCGCGUUGGCUAGGGAUCAACCUUGCUUUUUUGCUUGGCUUACUUUCUGGUCGAUGGGUCAGCAUCAAUUUU